CUAUCUGUAUAAUAUCAGAAAUGUCCAAAGUAAUGAUUAUCAAUCAACAGCACAUAAGUAGCCUAGGAAUAACUAAAAUAUUCUAAACACUUUUCUGACAUCUCUUAGAUUCUUCAUUCAUUCACAGUAGAUGUAAAGAGAAUUGGGAGGUCCAAACCCAGCCCUGUCUCCCCUCCUUCACCAAGUUGUUUCAUGUUAAUUUUGUAUAUUCAAACUGGGUACUUGAUAUUUCUUGAGUAAGUAGUGUCAUGAUGCAUACACAUCGUGCAACACCAGGCCCUCAUGUUCACCUUCAGCAUAUACUGAAUCAAAGCCUACGUGGCUACCCUGCUUCUCAGGGUUAAACACGUUCCCUAGUCAUCAGUGUCUCCUCCAAACCACCCCCUUUUGUCCUAGUUACUAUCCCAUCGCAAAGGUGGAAGGAAAGCUAUCCUAGAUAAGGUGUGUAUAUAAGGUAGGCCGUCAGGUAAAAUAGGCGUAUUUCUUUUUCAGAUCUAUCCAUGCUGCGUCCAGGCAUAUAAUGCUUUGUUAGCCCUAUUCCUUAAUGGGCUGAUGCAAUUGAAAAGGAAAUAUUUAAAAUUUCACUUCUUUCAGAGCAAAAAUGUGAAUCAAAACAAUUUAAUUAAAGCCAGAGCCAUUUCCUGUGUAAAAGAGAGAGAAGGCAUUAAAAAUUAUGUAGCAGGAUAACUUACGGAAGUACUAAUUUCUAUACUGUCCUCAAUGUUACAGGGCUUAAUGAAAUGAAAAAGUAAUAAUAAUAAUAAUAAUAACAUGUCCCUUUCCCUUCCCUAGGUGGAAGGAUAACCAACCCUUCUGUUUAAAGGUGUAAUUUCUUCACAUCAGCAUCUAUCUCAGAAGGAUGCUUUGCUAUUUCUGGAAAUGGAAAUUGCUCAUGAGUUUCAUGAUGUAUCAGAAGUUUUGGAAGUUUGAAGUUAAAGUGCAAUAUGUAGACCUUUAUUAAACAUAUGCAGCGAAUAAAACUAAACCAAAAGCAAAAGAGCAAUGUAUAAUCCUUUUUGCGGCACGACAAGUACAGUAAAAUAUUUGGAAAGAAGAAGACUGAUUGAAAGUUUACACUGGCUAAAUGUGAAUCAGAGAAGUCACAAUACUGAUGAUAAUGGUUCCACACUGAGCAAUUUUCUUGCAAAUUUGGAUAGCACAAACUAGCAUGUGUCAUACCUCAGCAAGAGGAACUCAAGCAACUUCAACAAAGAAUGCUUGUUCUAAACACAGUGCUUUUGUAGCCAAGAUAAAUGGGACAGGUCUCAAAUGCCAAAUUUGAUACCCCCAAACUCCCAAGCCCUCAAAAAGCCAGGAGAGAUUAUUCGGGCAAGAAAGUGAAUUAUUAUUUUAUAGAUGAUAUGAUUAAUAAAUCUAUCAGACAAUUAUUCAACCUUCCAUUUAAUUUUGACUUUCUAGGUGUGCAUGGCUUUAUGAAAAUAUUUCAAAUGUCUACAUUUUUAAAAAGCAAAUGAAUGAAGUUCUUAUUGCCUGUGUAAAUUUUGUAAAAGUCUUGACUUCAGAAAAUAUUAACUUUAUAUACUAAAUAACUUACUUUCAUACUCGGCGGUGCUUGCAGUGAGCCGAUAUCGCGCCGUUGCACUCCAGCCUGGGCAACAGAGCGAGACUCUAUCUCAAAAAAAAGAAAAAAAAAAAAAAAAACCUAAGUCAAAGGUAAAACGGGGCAUUUGACUCUCUAAAGUCUCCUGCUUGGCCCUCUUCCAAGUGUACUUUAUUUCCUUUUGUUCCUGCUCUAAACUUUUUCAUAAACGUUCACUCCUGCUCUAAAACUUGCCUCAGUCUCUUUCUGCCUUAUGACUCUUAAAUUCUUUCUUAUCAAGAGGCAAGAAUUGAGGUUGCUGUAGACCCAUACAGAUGUGCUGCCAGUAACAUUAACAGACCUUUACAGAAAAGCGUGGGGAGGAGAAUGAAAAAAAAAAAAAAUACGGAGAGUAGAGGGAAGAAAAAGAGGGUGGAUUACCUGGUGCAUUUGUUUCUAAGCAAAUCUGCUGAUUUUCAAGAGGUUUGCUCUAGAUUUCAAGUCUGAAAUUUUAUAGAAUUGAGAAGUCUGGAAUUAAGAAAAACGGUAUAAUCAAUGUGAUUUUGAAAGGAUAUGCAUUUUGGGGCAUGUCUGUCAAGCCUGAAUCAUUUCACCAGGGGAUUUUUCAGCAGGCAGCCUUGCCUUUCUUUAUUGCUAAAAGUCUGUCUACACUGGUGGGAAGCAGCAGCCAAGACAUGCCAGUUCUACUUACUUCAAGUACUGUUAGAGGGAUUGCCACCUUUUCCUGUGAAGGCAUCUGUGGAAAGAGGGAUCUCUUGAAGACAAAAUUCUCUUCUUGGGUUAUGUUAGAAGCAUAGGAGGGUGGUUUAAAGGAUUGCUUUUACUGUGUUUCUUUUUUCACUGCAUCUCAGAGUUUUGCAUUGUAAAUUAUGAUUUGUACUUUCUCAAAGACCAGUUGCAUAAUCUCUCACUUUCUUUUUCUAGUUGCAGAUUCUUGCUCAGGCACUCUCUUCAUAGGUAAAGUUUACAUUUUAGUGGUCUAUUGGCCACACUUAAAAAAAUAAGAGUUUGUUCUUUCUCAUUAAGAAGUAUACACCUUUACUUUAGUAUUUUAUAUUUCUUACAUUAGUUAUACAGUAUUUUGUUUUGUACUUUAUUUCAUAAUGGUUGACAUAAAUGAGUUUCUGAAAAUAACAGAACUGUUGAGCUUCUAAACAUAACAUAUUGUGGUUUCUAUUGGAUAUAUUUGUGAUAGAUUUUCUCCUUUUGCUUUCCUUCUCAUGAAAAUUAAUUUUCCUUUUUUAAUCCCGAAUCACUCACAGUUUAUAUGGAUACAAUGAAAAUUUUGUUUGUCUUUUUGAAAGUAAGACAUUAAAAAAAUCAUAACCCCACUUACCAAAUAUGAUUAUACUGAAAAACCACAACAAAUAUCUAAAACAUCUAUUUUUAAAAUUUUGAAGAAAAUUUCAAAUUUCACCUCUAAUACAUUUCUGUGAAACAAAAAUGGCAUGUAUUGGUAUCUCUAAUUAUUUUAUUUUUUAAAAUAAGUAAUUACUUUAUAAGUGGGAGUUCUAACCAAUCAAUUCUCAAUUAAUUAAUCUAAUCUAUUAUGUUUGGACUUGAUAUGGUUUCACUCUGUGGUCCCACCCAGUAGCUGGGACUACAGGCGCCCGCCACCACGCCCGGCUAAGUUUUUGUAUUUUUAGUAGAAACAGGAUUUCACUGUGUGUUAGCCAGGAUGGUCUCCAUCUCCUGACCUCGUGAUCCGCCCACCUUGGCCUCCCAAAGUGCUGGGAUUGCAGAAAUGAGCCACCGCGCCCGGCCCACAUUUCCUCUUCAGGGCCAUCUCCUCCAGGUCUCACCCUUCACAUACCAGAUCCUCACAGCCUUUUAUCUGGUGCUAAUAGUUGCCAAGUUCAUUCCUGCUUUAUGACCCUGCAUUGCAUUCCCUCUGUCUGAAAUGUUUUCUCAAAUAAUCUUCCCAAGAGGAUUGGAUUGGUUUUCUCAUUAGGGUCUUAGGUAUUUGUUAUCAUCUGCUUAACACAUCCUCAAGCAAUUUCUUAUUUGUCGAUCUCUCUGCUCCCCUCCCAACCUCCCCCACACACUCCCUCAUCCAUGAAUCUACCUUUUCUCCCAUCUCUGAAUCUAUCUUAGUCAUGAUCAAAAAAUAAAAACAGUCUUCUGGGAAUACACACCUACAGCUCAGCCAAGCAUCAUGAUUUCAAUUUUCCAAAAUGCAACUACCACUUUAAUGUUAAGGACCAGAUUCAAUCCUUAUGUAAGCUUCUGGUUUAAGUCAUACAAUUCUCCCACCAUCCAUCCUCCCCCAGUCAUUUCAUCUUUUAGAAUUGUAUUUUUGAGUGCUUUACAGGAGAAAGAAAAGUCAAAAGUAACUCUUUUGCAUUGGUGCAUAAAUGUUUCACUUUUAUGGAUGUGGCAGCAGCUUGUUGACAGUAUGAAAAUAGAACUAGUAAGAGCAGAGCUUCCAGAUGCCACAUAUGAUAACUUAAUACAUGAGACAACUAAGUAGAUUUUAUUUUAGAUUGUGUUCUGCUAUUCUUUGUUUUCUCUCUUCAUUAUCUGUAACACCUACUCCAUGAUUCAAUGCUAAUAUAAGAUUCAGUAGUUUAAAUAUCAAGCAACUAUUAGAUAUCAGCAUUAAUUCAUUUGAUUCACAACUAUUUUUUGAAUGUCUAAUAUGUACCAGGCACCAUUCUAUGUGUUGGAGAUACAGUAUUGAAAAAGAUAGACAAAAUCCUCUCAUGGUGAAAUUUAUAUUCUAGCAAAGGAAUAUACAAACAAUUGAAUACACCUACACAUAAAUACAUACAUAAAUAAAUAACUUCAGGUCAUGACAUAUGUUAUAGGGGAAAAAGGAUCAGUGGCAGGGAAGGUUGAGAUGAACUACUCUAGGUUAUGUGGACAAGGAUAGCCUCUCUGUAAAGGUAUAAUAACAUUUUAUCUGAGAAGUAAGUGUUGAGAAAACUCCACCAUGUGAAAUAUAUGCAAAGGAAAAGAGCAAACAUGGAAUCACCCAUGAAGACAUCAUGAGAGAUUACAGGGUGCUUUACUCUAAUGCUACUGUUGAAUUUCUAAAAACUUUGCUUUAUCACAAAUAAAGAUAAAAAAUAAUUACUUAGGCCAGGCGCGGUGGCUCACACCUGUAAUCCCAGCACUUUGGGAGGCCAAGGUGGGCGGAUCACAAGGUCAGGAGAUCGAGACCAUCCUGGCUAACACAGUGAAACCCCGUCUCUACUAAAAAUACAAAAAAUUAGCCUGGUGUAGUGGCGGGUGCCUGUAGUCCCAGCUACUUGGGAGGCUGAGGCAGGAGAAUGGCGUGAACCCAGGAGGCAGAGCUUGCAGUGAGCCGAGAUCGCAACACUGCACUCCAGCCUGGGCAACAGCAAGACUCCGUCUCAAAAAAAAAAAAAAAGAAAAAUUACUUAAUGGAGAAGGAAGUGAGGGCCUAAAACAAUUUAGACCUAUAGUAACAGAGUUUUUUUUUAAUAGAUUUCCAAUAAUGAAGGUGUUUCUUAAACACUCACUAGGGAUGGCAUUCAAAAUAAUUAACAGCCAACCAGAAUGGACACGGGCAGGGAUGCUGCCUGGAAGUUAGCUUUAGUUGUAUUGCUAUAAACAUAAUAUCAAUAAGUAAAUAUAGCACUAUCUGGAAAUAGCUCUGUAAAUGAAUAACAGCCUUUUGUAUUCUAUCAGAAUCAGAGUUACUACCAUCAGCCCCAUAAUUUUCAUAGCUCUUUGUUACACAUAUUGUUCACUGCCAUAAAGCAUAAAGCCAUCUAAGAGAAAACCCAAUUCAAAGGUUGCCCAAUUUCCUAUACACAGUACUAGGUCCCCAACUCAAUCAUAGUUCCAGAUGGAAAUUUCAAUACUAGCUUGGAUAUUGCAAAUUGUAUUUUCUAAGUAAUCAAUUACAUUGUUGCCGUUUGCUAUGGUGUGAAUGUCUUCCCCAAAUGCAUAUGUUGGAAACUAAAUUCCCAAUGCAACAGUGUUGGGAGGUGAGGUCUAUUAACAGGUGACUGGGUCAUGAGCACAGAGCUUAUGAAUGGAUUAAUGUCAUUAUUGAAGGAGUGAGUUUUUAUUAUCAUAGAGUGAAUUACUAUAAAAGGCAAUCUGCCCCUCAUGCUUUCUGUCUGUCUUCUGUCCUUCUGCCAUGAGAUGACACUCACCAGAUGCCAGCAACAUGCUCUCAAAAUUCCCAGCCUUAAGAAGCUUGAGCCAAAUAAUCCUCUUUAUGAAUUACCCAGUUUUUGGUAUUCUGUUAUAGAAACUGAAACGAACUAAGACACUGUAUUAGUCAGUUUUCAUGCUGCUAUAAAGAAAUACCUGAGACUAGUUAAUUUAUUUUUAAAAAAAGAUUUAAUUGACUCACAGUUACACGUGGCUGGGGAGGCCUCAGGAAACUUACAAUCAUGAUGGAAGGUGAAGAGGAAGCAGGCACUCUGUACACAAGGCUGCAGGAGAUUGAGAGAGAGAGGGUUGGGGAGAGAAAAGGAGGAACUGCCAAAUAUCUCAUGUCCUCAUAUUUUAAAAGUAAUUAUGCCUUCCAACAAUCCCCCAAAGUCUUAACUCAUUCCAGCAUUAAUUCAAAAGUUCAAGUCCUCCAACAGUCCCCCAAAGUCUUAACUCAUUCCAAAAUUAACUCCAAAGUCCAAGUCCAAAGUCUCAUCUGAGACAAAGCAAGUCCUUUCUGCCCGUGAGCCUGUAAAAUCAAAAACAAGUUAGUUAUGUCAAAGACACAAUGGGGGUACAGGCAUUGGAUAAGUUCUCCCAUUUCAAAUGGGAGAAAUUUGCCAAAACAUAGAAGAUAACGGGCGCCAUACAAGCCCAAAAUCCAGCAAGGCAGUCAUUAAAUCUUAAUGUUCCAAAAUAAUCUCCUUUGACUCCAUAUCUCACAUCCAGGGCAUGCUGAUACAAAGGGUAGGCUCCCAAGGCCUUUGGCACCUUUGCCCUGUGGCUUUGCAGGGUUCAGUUUCCACAGCUGCUCUCUUGGCCUGGUGUUGAGUGCCUGUAGCUUUUCUAGGUGCAUAGUGCAAGCUGUUGGUGCACCUACCAUUCUGGGGACUGGAGGAUGGUGGCCCUGUUCUCACAGCUCUUCUAGGUAGUACCCCAGUGGGGACUUCGUGUGGGGGCUCCAACCUCACAUUUCCCUUCUGCACUGCCCUAGCAGAGGUUCCCCAUGAGGGUUCUGCCACUACAGCAGACUUCUCUCUGGACAUCCAGGCGUUUCCAUACUCCCUCUGAAAUCUAGGCAGAGGUUCCAAAAGCUCAACUCUUCUCUUCUGUGCACCUACAAUCCCAACACCACAUGGAAGCCACCAAUGCUUGGGGCUUUCACCUCAGAAGCAAUUGGCCCCUUUUAGCCAUGGCUGGAGCUGGAAAGGCUGGGACAAAGGGCACCAUGUCCUGAGGCUGCACAGAGCAGGGGUGCCUUGGGCCUGACCCAUGAAACCAUUUUUCCCUUUCAGGCCUCCUGCCCUAUGAUGGGAAUCUCUCCCUUGAAGAUCUCUAACAUGCCCUGGAGAAAUUUUCCCCAUGUCUUGGCUAUUAACAUUCAGCUUCUCAUUUCUUAUGCAAAUUUCCACAGCUGGCUUGAAUUUCUCCCCAGAAAAUGGGAUUUUCUUUUCUAUUGCAUGGUCAGGUUGCAAAUUUUUCAAACAUUUUCACUCGGCUCCCGUUUUAAACAUAAGUUUCAAUUUCAGAUCAUCUCUCUCAAAUUCAAAGUUCUACAGAUCUCUAGGGCAGGGGCAAAAUGCUGCCAGCCUCUUUGCUAAAGCAUAGCAAGAGUGACUUUUGCUCCAGUUCCCAAU
rnacentral:lncRNA from 1 species